rnacentral:lncRNA from 1 species
GCUAUAGGUAGAAAAUCCCUCUAGAAUACUUAGGAAAUAUGUCAUCUUUCAAAGACUAGACUACCAACUCGUUUUUUUCUUUUCUUUUGUAGGAAUGACGUGAAGAAGACCUUUCGUAGAGCAUAACGAAAGGCCUGAAACCUAGGAUCAUUUGACCAGGCUGAGUUUACCGAACUCUUCUAAGCUAUCUGGGGUCUGACAACAGUUUUAGGACAAAACCAAGUUAACCCUCGCCAACAUCCUGCCCCAAAAUAUCAACCAGCCGAAAGAUCUAUCUCCCACAAUAUAGUGGAGUUUAAGAAGCUUAAUGCACCCCACUUUGAAGGAGGCCCUAACCCGUUAUUAAUUGAAGCCUGGGUCCUACAGAUAAAGAAACUUUUCUUUGUCUUAGACCUAACCAAGGCGCAAAAAGUUUCCCUAGCAACCUUCAUGCU